rnacentral:tRNA from 1 species
ACGACUGUGGCUCAAUUGGUAUAGCGUCAGAGUAUCGAUCUGGAGGUACGGGUUUAAAUCCCGUCGGCCAUC